GACACACUCGAGCUAAUUUAAGCAUCUUCCAUGGUCAUAAGCUCUAUAGGUAACAUCUAUGCAUUAUUAGCAUGGGUAACAAUAAUGGGUACUCCUACGCUGGUUUUAACCUUUUGCCAUGACCUCAAACUCAAUGGCUGUCUUAGGAGCAUGGAAACCAGUAAUGGAUCCCGUGGAUGAAGAUCUCGGCCCGUAUUCUUUGCGUAAGAAGCCCAUAGACCUAUGAAGAAGUAUACACAGUUCUAGUCCAUGGAAUGGAUGCACUUGAGCUGAUAAUCAUUCCGUAAAAAUCAAAACCUUUAUGGCUCAAUGAUCGAACAUCACAGCUAAUUAAAUUAUCCUUCGGUCAUGAUGAUCUUUGCCUUAUCUCUCUGGGGAAGGAUAUAUCAUGCUAU